GGACCCGCACAAGCGGUGGAGUAUGUGGUUUAAUUCGAUGCAACACGAAGAACCUUACCAGGGUUUGAAAUCAUUUCAAAACUCCUUGAAAGAGGAGCCUCCUUCGGGAUGAAAUGACAGGUGGUGCAUGGCUGUCGUCAGCUCGUGUUGUGAAAUGUCGAGUUAAGUCUCGUAACGAGCGCAACCCAUGUCUCUUGUUGCUCACUGAGUGCUUAAGAGAGACUGCCGGUGAUAAACCGUGAGGAAGGUGGGGAUGACGUCAAAUCAUCACGGCCCUUACGUCCUGGGCUACACACGUGCUACAAUGGCCGGUACAGAGAGCAGCCACUACGCGAGUAGGCGCG
rnacentral:rRNA from 1 species